AACGAACGCUGGCGGCAUGCCUAACACAUGCAAGUCGAACGAAACGUUCGGGACUUGUGGCGCACGGGUGCGUAGCGCGUGGGAACCUGCACUUGGGUUCGGCAUACCUCCCCGAAAGGGGUGCUAAUGCCGGAUAAUGUCUUCGGACCCAAGAUUUAUUGCGUUUGGAUGGGCAAUAGUUGGAUUCGCUGGUUGGUAGGGUAAGAGCCUACUAAGGGGUCGAUCCAUAGCUUGUCUGAGAGGAUGAUCAGCCACACUGGGACGAAGACACGGCCCAGACUCCUACGCAAGGGAGCAGUGGGUAAUAUAGCACAGUGGGCUAAGGCCUGAUCCAGCAAUGCCGGGUAAGUGAUGAUGGCCUUGGGGAUGUAAUGCUCUUUUACCCGGGAUGAUAAUGACGGUACCGGGUGAAUAAGCUCCGGCUAACUACGUG
rnacentral:rRNA from 1 species